UAGUUUUGCACUCCGAUAUUUACAGUUAUCUACAGAAAAUUUUAAGCAAAACGCGCAAAAAAACUCUUGUCAUUUUAGUGGAAGUUUAAUGAUUUUAAUACAUAGUUAGAGUUAAGUUCUGUUCAAAGGAAGUAUUGUUCCACUUUACUUAUCAUGGAAGUACAUUUGGAAGUGCACGUGUCUGUGGAAUCUACAGUUUUGUACAAAGGGACAGACCAGACCUUCCGGCCAUUGCAAUGUCAGUGAGACGGGACGUACACGCGACGCGGGAGACCGUGGGCAACUGCCUCCCAACUUUCCGAUUUGCACAGCCAAACUACGGGCAUGGCGAAAACACUGCGUGUGCCGCGCUGAUAAACCCCAUGCAAUCGGAAUACACCUGCUCCAGCAGCACAUCUAACUCCAACUCCACAAGCCGUUAAGCCAACGCUAACGAGAGCAGAACUUGAUGAGCGCUCAACAGUCUUCAGCCUUAUGGAUGGGAGAUGCAUGGUGUGGCAUGGCUAUGAUACUCCGAGUAUUGGAUGGGACUGGGGUACGCAAAUAGUAGUUAUAUUUUGCGGCAUGACGUAGGCCGCUUGAGGAUUGCGGUAUUGCGGAACCGAACCGUAGGGACGUGGGGAGGGAUGGCAGGUGUGAAUGAGUGCCUUUCUUCGCAUUGAUUUUCCUUUGCCUAAUAUUUAACCUACAUUUUAUGGGGCGCUACUCGAAUUUCGGUGACACACUUUGGCUCGCAGGAAGUGACUAGACCGGUGUGCUGUGUUAUGGCCAUGACGCGUGCCGGGCCCGGACCCGGGCCUGUGCCUGUGCCUGCACUUUUCCUGCAUCUCAUUACGGCUGGGGUCACACUUUAAGAACCGUUUUUAAUUGGAGUCCCCUCGAGGAAAUUGGUAUUGGUAUACGAAAAGCCGCGAAAAAUGAACAUUGGAAACGGAGAGCGAGAGCGAUAGAGCCCACGAUGGGACGUUGGCACUGACUGAAAUGGAACUGCCUCCACGGCGACGCGGCGCGAAUGGUGAUGCCAGUUCAUACACCGAACAUGUCGCAAAGGAACUUUCUGGAUUGGAUCCCAGGGUCGUCGGCAUUCGGCUAGCGCCGCGUCAUCAUGAGCCAGCCAUGACGCCCAUUCGUGCGUCGCCGAAUCAAAAGCUGGGAUAGCUUCGAGACGAAGGACCUAUGUAUCGUAAGCUUCGCCACAAACGAAGUCGUAUCCGAUUUCGACCCGCCAGACGGGGUCCUAUCAAAGUAUCCCAGCCGGACAGAAUCGUAUCCCAGCAGGACAGAAUCGCACCCCGUAGCAUCCGAGUCUAACAAGCCAUCGACAACAAGGACUUUGACUAUGGCAACCAAGCGAGGGGCUACGCGGGCUACUACACUCUAGAUAUAUAUCGUUGUUGUUAGGUUUAAGGAUAUACGCGUUCAUACAUUUAGAUAGUAGAUACAAAUUUUAUCCACUUGUUUAUUUAUUUAUACUAACGUAUCCUAUACUAAGCUAAGUUCUGAUGAAUAAAAUGAUUGAAAACUCA